GGAUUAGAUACCCUGGUAGUCCACGCCGUAAACUAUGAGGACUAGACAUGAGGAGACGUGAGUUUUUUUGUGUCGUAGCUAACGCGAUAAGUCUUCCGCCUGGGGAGUACGGCCGCAAGGUUAAAACUCAAAGGAAUUGACGGGGGCCCGCACAAGCGGUGGAGCAUGUGGUUUAAUUCGACGAUACGCGAAGAACCUUACCUACUUUUGAAUGUACGGAACCUGACAGAGAUGUCGGGGUGCCGCAAGGAGCCGUAACACAGGUGCUGCAUGGCUGUCGUCAGCUCGUGCCG
rnacentral:rRNA from 1 species